rnacentral:lncRNA from 1 species
UCAGGGGACAUAGUGUAGGACAUUCGAAAGAAGAAGAGGAAGAGAGAAAGAAAACUCUAACGAUGUUGUGGUGACCAACAAUGCUGAGACUUGAAGGGAGAUGCAAGGUUAUUAAAUAGGGUGGAAGAAGGCAUUAGAAAUCCUUCUUGACAUUGGAUUCUUUUUAGCAAGCUUGAGAGGCAAAAAACUCUAAUCAGGUGUCACGCUCCAAAUCCGGGACAUAACACGGUCAUGCUACCGAGGGAUGGAACCCACGAUAACACGAAGCCAAUUCAUCAUAAUCAUCUAAAAUCCGUCAAAUAAAAAGAUUCAAUUCUAUUAUUCAUCAAAUAAUCGAACCAA